AUGCGGGACUCAUCAGAGGCCUCGCAAUUGGAAUGAGCGCACUUUAAAUCGUUCGACGAGGAUCUAUUGGAGGGCAAGUCUGGUGCCAGCAGCCGCGGUAAUUCCAGCUCCAAUAGCGUAUAUUAAAGUUGUUGCAGUUAAAAAGCUCGUAGUUGGAUCUGGGGUUCGGGUCGGCGGUUUGCCGCUUCGGCGGCUACUGCCGUGCUCGACUCUUACUAGCCGGUGCGUCUUGCGGUGCUCUUCAUCGGGUGCCGUAGGAGCCCGGCAUGUUUACUUUGAAAAAAUUAGAGUGCUCAAAGCAGGCGAUUCCGCCUGAAUAGUGUUGCAUGGAACAAUGGAAUAGGACCUCGGUUCUAUUUUGUUGGUUUUCGGAACUUGAGGUAAUGAUUAAGAGGGACGGUCGGGGGCAUUCGUAUUUCGGUGUUAGAGGUGAAAUUCUUGGAUCGCUGAAAGACGGACAAAUGCGAAAGCAUCUGCCAAGAACGUCUCCAUUAAUCAAGAACGAAAGUCAGAGGUUCGAAGACGAUCAGACACCGUCCUAGUUCUGACCAUAAACGAUGCCAACUAGCGAUCCGCAGUGGUUGCUAUAAACGGACUCUGCGAGCAGCUUCCGGGAAACCAAAGUGUUUGGGUUCCGGGGGAAGUAUGGUUGCAAAGCUGAAACUUAAAGGAAUUGACGGAAGGGCACCACCAGGAGUGGAGCCUGCGGCUUAAUUUGACCCAACACGGGGAAACUCACCCGGUCCGGACACUGUAAGGAUUGACAGAUCGAGAGCUCUUUCUUGAUUCGGUGGAUGGUGGUGCAUGGCCGUUCUUAGUUGGUGGAGUGAUUUGUCUGGUUAAUUCCGAUAACGAACGAGACUCUAGCCUGCUAACUAGUUGCGCCGUGUUCAUACGCGGCUGUAGACUUCUUAGAGGGACAGGUGGCGUUUAGCCACACGAAAUUGAGCAAUAACAGGUCUGUGAUGCCCUUAGAUGUCCGGGGCCGCACGCGCGCUACACUGAAGGAGUCAGCGUGUGCUAUCCGGGCUCGGAAGAGUUCGGUAACCCGUUGAAACUCCUUCGUGCUUGGGAUUGUGGCUUGUAAUUAUCGCGCAUGAACGAGGAAUUCCCAGUAAGUGCAAGUCAUCAGCUUGCGCUGACUACGUCCCUGCCCUUUGUACACACCGCCCGUCGCUACUACCGAUUGAGUGGUUUAGCAAGGUACUCGGAUUGGUCUCGAUCUUGUACGAAAGUGCGGGAUCUGUGGCCGAGAAGAAGGCCAAACUUGAUCAUUUAGAGGAAGUAAA
rnacentral:rRNA from 1 species